UAAAAAAUUCAUCUGUGUCUAGCAGUUCUCUCUCAAAUUCAGUUUUGGGAAGGGAUGGUUCAAUGUCAGAAUCAUUUCGACCUUUCCCCACAAUUUCUAAAACUGACCAAGUUAGUCAAACUGUUUCUGCUGAAUCUAUUAUGCCAAGUAUUUCUGUCAGCAGAUCACUAUUAAGCAAUCAGUAUAGCAGGCCACAUCAAGCAGCUGUGGGUCAUCAAAAAGCUGCUCAGCAUAAUAAGGAGUGGAAACCAAAAUCAAGCCAAAAAUCAAGUGUUGGCAGCCCUGGAGUGAUUGGAACACUUACAAAAUCUAGUUUACCUCCUGCUGACAAUUCUAAGGAUUUGGAAUAUGAUGUAUCUGAUUUUCACGAUAAGCUUUUGCGAGUGAAUGUCUAUGAAAAUCAAAAUGUGAUCAUAGCACAACAUAUUCGAGUCCCUGAAACUGAUAGGUGCAGGCUGACCUUUGGCAGUUUUGGGACAGAGUUUGAUUCUUCCAGGAAUAUUUCAUCUGGAUUUCAAGCACUUGCAGUUACAGAAGAAUCUAAUGCAGAAUCUGCUGCAAGCUUGUCAGUAUCUGCACCGGAGUCUUUCAGUGAUGAUGCCUCUGGCAACAAGCUGGUAGAAUUACUAGAUGAACAAGUUAGAAAUUCUGGAUCUGAUUCUUCAGCAUCAGGUGCAGAGUCUGAGAAUCAAUUACCUGAUAGGUCUUCAAGUCCUCCGAAUUUGGACAAUUAUGCUGAUAUUGGUUUAGCUCAAGACAAUAGUCCAUCUUGCCGCUGCUGUGAUUCUGAAGGCGUAUAAGAG
rnacentral:misc_RNA from 1 species